rnacentral:rRNA from 1 species
GACGAACGCUGGCGGCGUGCUUAACACAUGCAAGUCGAACGGAAAGGCCCUGCUUUUGUGGGGUGCUCGAGUGGCGAACGGGUGAGUAACACGUGAGUAACCUGCCCUUGACUUUGGGAUAACUUCAGGAAACUGGGGCUAAUACCGGAUAGGAGCUCCUGCUGCAUGGUGGGGGUUGGAAAGUUUCGGCGGUUGGGGAUGGACUCGCGGCUUAUUAGCUUGUUGGUGGGGUAGUGGCUUACCAAGGCUUUGACGGGUAGCCGGCCUGAGUGGGUGACCGGACACAUUGGGACUGAGAUACGGCCCAGACUCCUACGGGAGGCAGCAGUGGGGAAUAUUGCACAAUGGGCGGAAGCCUGAUGCAGCAAAGCCGCGUGCGGGAUGACGGCCUUCGGGUUGUAAACCGCUUUCGCCUGUGACGAAGCGUGAGUGACGGUAAUGGGUAAAGAAGCACCGGCUAACUACGUG